UACUCGAGCGGCGAACGGGUGAGUAACACGUGGGUGAUCUGCCCUGCACUUCGGGAUAAGCUUGGGAAACUGGGUCUAAUACCGGAUAGGAACCAUCUUUAGUGUGGUGGUUGGAAAGUUUUUUCGGUGUAGGAUGAGCUCGCGGCCUAUCAGCUUGUUGGUGGGGUAAUGGCCUACCAAGGCGGCGACGGGUAGCCGGCCUGAGAGGGUGUACGGCCACAUUGGGACUGAGAUACGGCCCAG
rnacentral:rRNA from 1 species